rnacentral:rRNA from 1 species
UGCCUAAUACAUGCAAGUCGAACGGUCUUUCUAUGGAAGCUUGCUUCCACUGAGAAGAUAGUGGGCGAACGGGUGAGUAACAACGUGGGUAACCCUGCCCAUAAGAGGGGGAUAACAUCCGGAAACGGGUGCUAAUACCGCAUAGUUUUCUUGAUCGCAUGAUCGGGAAAGGAAAGACGGCCUUUGUGCUGUCGCUUAUGGAUGGACCCGCGGCGUAUUAGUUAGUUGGUGAGGUAACGGCUCACCAAGACGAUGAUACGUAGCCGACCUGAGAGGGUGAUCGGCCACAUUGGGACUGAGACACGGCCCAAACUCCUACGGGAGGCAGCAGUAGGGAAUCUUCCGCAAUGGACGAAAGUCUGACGGAGCAACGCCGCGUGAGUGAAAGAAGGUUUUCGGAUCGUAAAACUCUGUUGUCAGAGAAGAACAAGUUGGAGAGUAACUGCUCCAGCCUUGACGGUAUCUGACCAGAAAGCCACGGCUAACUACGUGCCAGCCGCCGC